GACCAGACUCCUACGGGAGGCAGCAGUGGGGGAUAUUGCACAAUGGGGGGAACCCUGAUGCAGCGACGCCGCGUGGGUGAAGGAGUAUUUCGGUAUGUAAAGCCCUAUCGGCAGGGAAGAAGCAAGACGGUACCUGACUAAGAAGCCCCGGCUAACUACGUGCCAGCAGCCGCGGUAAUACGUAGGGGGCAAGCGUUAUCCGGAAUUACUGGGUGUAAAGGGAGCGCAGACGGCAGUGCAAGUCUGGAGUGAAAGCCCGGGGCCCAACCCCGGGACUGCUCUUGGAACUGCGCGGCUGGAGUGCAGGAGGGGCAGGCGGAAUUCCUGGUGUAGCGGUGAAAUGCGUAGAUAUCAGGAGGAACACCGGCGGCGAAGGCGGCCUGCUGGACCGCGACUGACGUUGAGGCUCGAAAGCGUGGGGAGCGAACAGGAUUAGAUACCCGCGUAGG
rnacentral:rRNA from 1 species